UAUGGGUCCUCUUGCAACAUUAGCUUGCGAACUCGGUCAGGUCCGGAAGGAAGCAGCCGUAGUAAGUGUCAUGUGUGUAGGAUGUGGCUGAUAGAG
rnacentral:SRP_RNA from 1 species